UACCAGCACCCCGAGUGGUCGGGACGUUUAUUGGGCCUAAAGCAUCCGUAGCCGGUUCUACAAGUCUUCCGUUAAAUCCAACUGCUUAACAGGUGGGCUGCGGAAGAUACUAUAGAGCUAGGAGGCGGGAGAGGCAAGCGGUACUCGAUGGGUAGGGGUAAAAUCCGUUGAUCCAUUGAAGACCACCAGUGGCGACGGCGGCUUGCCAGAACGCGCUCGACGGUGAGGGAUGAAAGCUGGGGGAGCAAACCGG
rnacentral:rRNA from 1 species